rnacentral:sRNA from 1 species
UGUAUCGGAAGCCUGACGAGGAUGAGAACCUCCGGGGGCAAGAGGUUCGACUCGAGCGCAGCGAGAGAACGUUGCGUCAGCAACGGCCCGCA